GAGUUUGAUCCUGGCUCAGAUUGAACGCUGGCGGCAGGCCUAACACAUGCAAGUCGAACGGUAGCACAGAGAGCUUGCUCUUGGGUGACGAGUGGCGGACGGGUGAGUAAUGUCUGGGAAACUGCCCGAUGGAGGGGGAUAACUACUGGAAACGGUAGCUAAUACCGCAUAACGUCUUCGGACCAAAGUGGGGGACCUUCGGGCCUCACACCAUCGGAUGUGCCCAGAUGGGAUUAGCUAGUAGGUGGGGUAAUGGCUCACCUAGGCGACGAUCCCUAGCUGGUCUGAGAGGAUGACCAGCCACACUGGAACUGAGACACGGUCCAGACUCCUACGGGAGGCAGCAGUGGGGAAUAUUGCACAAUGGGCGCAAGCCUGAUGCAGCCAUGCCGCGUGUAUGAAGAAGGCCUUCGGGUUGUAAAGUACUUUCAGCGAGGAGGAAGGUGUUGUGGUUAAUAACCGCAGCAAUUGACGUUACUCGCAGAAGAAGCACCGGCUAACUCCGUGCCAGCAGCCGCGGUAAUACGGAGGGUGCAAGCGUUAAUCGGAAUUACUGGGCGUAAAGCGCACGCAGGCGGUCUGUCAAGUCGGAUGUGAAAUCCCCGGGCUCAACCUGGGAACUGCAUUCGAAACUGGCAGGCU
rnacentral:rRNA from 1 species